rnacentral:rRNA from 1 species
CCUCCGGGUGGCAGCAGUGGGGAAUAUUGGAAAAUGGGCGAAAGCCUGAUCCAGCCAUGCCGCGUGUGUGAAGAAGGCCUUCGGGUUGUAAAGCACUUUCAGUGGGGAAGAAAGCCUUGGGGCUAAUACCCUCGAGGAAGGACAUCACCCACAGAAGAAGCACCGGCUAACUCCGUGCCAGCAGCCGCGGUAAUACGGAGGGUGCGAGCGUUAAUCGGAAUUACUGGGCGUAAAGCGCGCGUAGGCGGUCUGAUAAGCCGGUUGUGAAAGCCCCGGGCUCAACCUGGGAACGGCAUCCGGAACUGUCAGGCUAGAGUGCAGGAGAGGAAGGUAGAAUUCCCGGUGUAGCGGUGAAAUGCGUAGAGAUCGGGAGGAAUACCAGUGGCGAAGGCGGCCUUCUGGACUGACACUGACGCUGAGGUGCGAAAGCGUGGGUAGCAAACAGGAUUAGAUACCCGAGUAGUC